rnacentral:rRNA from 1 species
GAAGAUUUCCGAAUGGGACAACCUAAUACAUUGAAGAUGUAUUGCACCGCAAGGUGAGCCAACCCCGUGAACUGAAACAUCUAAGUAGCGGGAGGAAAAGAAAACAAUAGUGAUUCCCCAAGUAGUGGCGAGCGAAAAGGGAAUAGCCCAAACCGGUGUAGCGUGCUACACCGGGGUUGUAGGACUGCAUUUAGAAAGUGUCGAUAAAACGAACCCUCUGGAAAGUGGGGCCAUAGCGUGUGAUAGCCACGUAGUUGUACCUUGACAUGGACGAGCAGUAUCCUGAGUAAGGCGGGACCGGAGAAAUCCUGCCUGAAUCUGCCGGCACCAUCCGGUAAGGCUAAAUACUCCUGAGAGACCGAUAGUGAACCAGUACCGUGAGGGAAAGGUGAAAAGCACCCCGA